rnacentral:rRNA from 1 species
AUGAACGCUAGCGACAGGCCUAACACAUGCAAGUCGAGGGGCAGCACAAGGAGCAAUCUGAGGUGGCGACCGGCGCACGGGUGAGUAACACGUAUGCAACCUGCCUGUAAGCGGGGAAUAACCCGUUGAAAGACGGACUAAUACCGCAUAAUACUAAAUUACUGCAUGGUAAUUUAUUUAAACAUUUAUGGCUUACAGAUGGGCAUGCGCAUGAUUAGCUAGUUGGAGAGGUAACGGCUCCCCAAGGCAACGAUCAUUAGGGGUUCUGAGAGGAAGGUCCCCCCACACUGGUACUGAGACACGGACCAGACUCCUACGGGAGGCAGCAGUGAGGAAUAUUGGUCAAUGGACGAGAGUCUGAACCAGCCAAGUCGCGUGCAGGAAGAAUUGUCCUAUGGAUUGUAAACUGCUUUUGCGAGGGGAAUAAAGUGCAUCACGUGUGAUGUUUUGUAUGUACUCUGCGAAUAAGGAUCGGCUAACUCCGUGCCAGCCGCCGC